rnacentral:rRNA from 1 species
AGCAGCCGCGGUAAUUCCAGCUCCAAUAGCGUAUAUUAAAGUUGUUGCAGUUAAAAAGCUCGUAGUUGAAUUUCGGGGUUAGUAAGUUGGUCGUGCCACUGGUAUGUACUGGCUUUACUGAUUCCUCCUUCUUGUAGAACCGUAAUGCCAUUAAGUUGGUGUUGCGGGGAAACAGGACUGUUACUUUGAAAAAAUUAGAGUGUUUAAAGCAAGCUAACGCUUGAAUACAUUAGCAUGGAAUAAUGAAAUAGGACGUUCGAUCCUAUUUUGUUGGUUUCUAGGAUUGACGUAAUGAUUAAUAGGGAUAGUUGGGGGCAUUAGUAUUCAAUUGUCAGAGGUGAAAUUCUUGGAUUUAUUGGAGACUAACUACUGCGAAAGCAUUUGCCAAGGAUGUUUUCAUUAAUCAAGAACGAAAGUUAGGGGAUCGAAGACGAUCAGAUACCGUCGUAGUCUUAACCAUAAACUAUGCCGACUAGGGAUCGGAUGAUGUUAAUUUUAUAAUGACUCAUUCGGCGCCUUA